GGUGAACCUGCGGAAGGAUCAUUAUUGAAACAUUGUGAAGAAAGUUGUAGCUGGCUCUUCAAGGGCAUGUGCUCGCUUUCUUUCAAUCUUCAUCCACCUGUGCACUUUCUGUAGAGGGGGCUUUUAGAAAGGACGCAAGUCUUAGUAUUGAACCUCCUCUAUGUCUUAUAAACUCUUGAUGUAUGUCUUUGAAUGUCUUUUUAUAAGGGACUUUACUGGCCCUUUAAAAACAAUACAACUUUCAGCAACGGAUCUCUUGGCUCUCGCAUCGAUGAAGAACGCAGCGAAAUGCGAUAAGUAAUGUGAAUUGCAGAAUUCAGUGAAUCAUCGAAUCUUUGAACGCACCUUGCGCCUCUUGGUAUUCCGAGAGGCAUGCCUGUUUGAGUGUCAUUAAAUUCUCAACCUUAAAAACUUUUUUGUUUCUAAGGAUUGGAUGUGGAGGCUUGCUGGCUUUAACAAGUCAGCUCCUCUUAAAAACAUUAGUGGAAACCGUUUGUGGCCCACAUUGGUGUGAUAAUUAUCUACGCCACUGCUGUGACUACAGGCUCUAUUAGCUUGCUCGAACGUACUUUGUACAUUUCGGUUUGGAGAGUGCAUGAAUAAUGCUCUUUCUGUUGCUUACAGAGUUUGGCAUCCGCUUCAAACUGUCCUAAGUCAUUGGACAAUUACUUGACUUGUUUGACCUCAAAUCAGGUAGGACUACCCGCUGAACUUAAGCAUAUCAAUAAGCGGAGGAAAAGAAACUAACAAGGAUUCCCCUAGUAACUGCGAGUGAAGAGGGAAAAGCUCAAAUUUAAAAUCUGGCAGUCUCUGGCUGUCCGAGU
rnacentral:rRNA from 1 species